rnacentral:hammerhead_ribozyme from 1 species
GUAUUGUUGAAGAGUCCCACAAUAGGACGAAACGGUCGUCCAAUGC